UUCUGUCAGACUCCCCCUUCUCCAGUCUUAUUUCUCUUUCACCGAUCAACUUCCCAGCUCUUUACUUCAUUCCUCCCCUUCAGGUUUCACCCAUCACCGUGUGUUUUUCUCUCCCUUCCCCCACUUUUUAAAUCUACCCCUCAGCUUUUUCCCUCCAGACCUGCCGAAGGGUCUCUGCCCGAAAUGUCGUCUGUACUUUUUUCCAUAGAUGCUGCCUGGCCUGCUGAGUUCCUCCAGCAUUUUGUGUGUGUUGUACCGUGUACAUCGAGUCCUUCCUGCUGACUUGUGGUCAGUGGUGUUGGUCUGGAGGAACUGUGUCCGAGUCCAUUAACGCAAAGUUCAUAGGCACAGGCGAUAAACAAAAUUACUGAUAGGAGCUUCCUGUGACUCUGAGAACAAACUCGGCGCUUCCCUUGGACUGAAAUCUGCAGCUCACGGAGGCGGUCCGUCAAUCAGCAGGACCGGCUCUCAUCGGCCGAGGAGUGAGCCCCGCCCAGUGGGCCGUCCAUUGCCACCGGGAGCGAGUGGGUCCGAUCCGGGGACAGGCCGCAAAUCGGCAGCUGCAUCUUGGGCAACCGCUGCGACACCGACCGGGGCUGCGAAUCUUUUCCGUUGUGGAGAUGCUGCCUGAGACUGCUGCAUUCCUCCAGCAUUUUGUGUGUGCUGCAAAGAUCGCCUCGGGGAUGUUGCAAAUUUCAGUGUUCGUGGGGCUUCCCCACCUGACCCAGGCCCUCCAUGUGUGGUAGCAGAACGAGCCUCAAAUGUGGGCCUCCUCCCCAGAGACUUUGCACUGGCUGCACUGAUAUCCACUGUGUCCCUCAGCACGUCCUCCUGCAGCCUGGACUGUGCCUGUCGACAGCAUUCCCUUCGCGACAUCUGGCUGUGCUGGGAGACCAACAGGUUUCGGGCAGAACAAAGAGCCUCUCUCACUGAGUUGAUGAUCUUCCAGCAGCAGUUCCCGGGCUGAAUGACUCAGUGGAGAACGUGAAAUUUUCCCAUCACAGAUGUGAGGCUCAGCAGCCUGGAGUUCCCUGGAUUGUCCUUCCAGCCCUUCUCAAGUUAUGCCCGUGAGCCACCCUGCAGUCGUCCGGCCCCUCACCUGUGGCUAAGUGUGAAGUAAAUUUCUCUGCUACGACUCCUGCAAUUUUGACCUGGUCCUGAUGUCUUUAUGGAGAUAAAGGGCUGGAGAAGGGGGCAAUCUGAUGGGAGAGGACAGAAGGCCAUGGAAGAAAGGGAAGGUGGAGGAGCACCAGAGGGAGGCGAUAGGAAAGGAAAUAAGGUGAG